AUAGGAUACAGGAUACAACAUAUGAAAUAAAAGAAAAAGAAAAAAACUGGAAUUGUUUUAAUGCAAUCAUGUCGGAUAAUUUGAAAUUUUCUGAUAAUUACAUUAAGAUGAAUGCAGAAAAAAGCAUUCAUUUAUUUCUGAACUUGAAUAAGGGAAUACAAUUAGUUUUACUGUUUUAAUGUUCUCUUUUAUAUUCUAAAUUUAAUGAUUAUUUGGUUUGCUUACUUUUAAAAUGUAUUUUUAUUUUUUAAUUAAUUUCUACUUUAGAAUGAUUGUUAAAUAUGAUCAAAAAUAUUUGUAAUAAAUAUGUGCUGGAAUCAUUUUAUAGUUUGUGUUUCAGCUAAGCAGAUUUUGGUUAUGUUUUUAUUAUUUAUCAGCUAUGUUUGUUGAAUGUAAUGUUAACAAGAGAAGUAUUAUAUAUAUUUAGAUGUUAUAAUUUAUAUAAAAUUUUAAAUCAGUUUUUUAUUUCAGGUAAAAUGCAUUUCAGUAAUUGUUUACAUAACAUUAAAAAAUAGAAAUGUGAAUGGAAAACAGCCAUAGGAAUUCUUCUAAGCUUUGUUGUUCAUUUGUUUGAAAAUGCAGAGUAAACAAACUGUGAAUUGUUGGCAUUGGGUCUGAAGUCAAUAACACAGAUUCAGAUUGUGAAAAAAGUUUUAUGGAACAUAUUUUGGUAAAAUGCAUCUCAGUAAUUGUUUACGUAACAUUAAAAAAUAUAAAUGUGAAUGGAAAGCAGUUAUAGGU